rnacentral:lncRNA from 1 species
AGCGUGAGGUUUGAUUUACCAAAUAUGACCCAUUUGAUCAACAGAGCCAGAAGCAAGCUUUUCCCGUUAGAAUUCCAGGCCACCGAAUUGAAAGACCUACGAAAAGAUGAAGAUCAAAAGAUGGAAAAAGUCCUAAACUUUAAAGAAAAAGAAGCUAAACCUAACCAGCUCAAGGAUGUUGAAAAUUCAGAGAUGAAAAAGUCCACAACUUAACUCAAGAACAGACAAAAUAGGUAGCUCAACUAAUUUAGAAACCGCUUUCAAAUCUCCAUUUAUCAACCACCAAAGCUAAUAAACAAAACGUAUCUUAAACUGGAUGAUGAUGCAGUGGUUUAUAGCAAAAUUAGUUGUUUCAUCGUAUAGGCCGAUCCUUCAUUCUCUGAGAACCCGUGCAGAUACCACAGCUCAGUAUGACUACGGUCGUGUGAUAAUGGCACCGGCUUCGACUUCUUCUCAGGUUUAUCAUAGCGGUGUUCACAGAAAGCGCGGGCGGCGUGCUCUAGGCUCCAAUUGUUGUCGCUGAGGUCCUUGGUUCUUCCGCCGCGGUUCUCUGGCUCUCAGACGGAGGUUGAGCCGGCGACGGCAAGUUUUUCUGCGGCAAGCCUCCAUCGCCAUAAAGAUUUCGUGUAACGUAGUAAACAGAGAAGAGGAAGAGAAAGGGGAUCGAAGAUCCAUUUUGAUAAAUUAGGGUUGGUUCUUCGUGGAAAGGGGAAAGGGGACUUCAGAGAGCCACCGGUUUCUCGAUUCUGAACAUUAUCGGGCCUGUAGAAUGCGAGGCCCAAAUGACACGCGCGGACCUUCUGACGUGACGAAUAUCUGAUUCCCUAUUGGUUGAUUUUUUAUACUGACGUGGACAGACUCAAUGGAGCUCAUAUAUCCUUUUAAUAUAGUAUAGAUUAGUGUUAUCUUUUCCAAUUAAUAAAUACAUUUUCCUAAUUCUAAUUCGUACCUACAAUUAAUUGAACAUAAUCUGUUUUUUAUUAACUAAACUACAGUUUGAAAAAUCUCAGGAAAAUGAAAUCGUUUUCCUCCAAACUAAAACCUACAACUUUCUUCAACACCUAUGAGCACCUAUAGCUCAUGAACCUGUAAACAGAGCAAUGAAACAUAACUUUAGUUUUUUAAAACAAAAAUCAUGACUUCGAGUCUUCAUUGCUAUCAUACAUAUAUUAAUAAUUAUUUCUCCACAAGUCCAAUGUUCAAUCACGUUCUAAUUGGUAUCGUAUUAUUGUAACCUAUAACCGAGAUAGAUACAUAUUUUUUUCUUUAUUAAUGAAAUCAAAUCAUCUAUACAAAUCGAUUUUUUAAUCUUUCUGAACAAACAAAAUCAAUAAGUUCAGAUCAAAACAAAAUAUCUUUUAUUAGUCUAUCCAAACCUAUAAUCAAUGUCAGAAUCUUUAUUAUACCUAUAAAAUAUAGAAACUAUAGCCUGAAUUAUCGCUAUCUAUUAUAUUUAUAUAAAUCUAUCUAUACUAUUAUUUAUAAAGUGAUUUAGUUAAUUUGUCAUGAUUUUCAUGAUUUUAGGUAAUUUUGCUUAUUUGUCAUGUUUUAAUUAGGUUUAAGCUGAGUCAUUAAUUUAUUAAUAGUUUUUAGAUGAGUUCAUAAUUUAUUAAUUUAAAUAAUAUAACUAUAAAAUAUGUAAUUAGAUGUAUGAUUAUUUUGAUUUUGUUUAUUUGUUAUGUUUUCCAUGAGUUUAGUCAAUGUUGCUUAUUUGUCAUAUUUUUAUUAGGUUUUAGCUUACUCAUUGAUUUAUUAAUAAUUUUUAGCCGAAUCACUAAUUUAUUAAUUUUUUAAAAAAUAUCUGUAAUGAAUUUUAUAUAUAAUUAAAAAUAAAUUUUAUUUUAAGAGUAUAAAGUUUAUAUGUUAUAUGUUACAUUAAAUAAUUGAUUAUAAAAUAAUAUAAUAGAAUUAUAAAAAAUAAGAUUAUUCUUAUAUAUAUUGUGUUGCUAUCUGAAAACAAUAUUUUAUUAUAAAAGUUAAAAAGUUAAGAUAAAAAAAGCAAUUGAUAAUUAAAUAUUAGUCAAGCAAAAAAAUUAUAUAAAGAUAUUUUCUAAACUAUUUCUAAGAUAUGAGUGUUUAAAAAAAAUUAACACAAUAGUAAGUAUAUAUUUUGAUAAAAAAAUAUUUGACAUAUAUAAAUACUUUGAUGUUUGAUUUAACUAUUUAAAACCAUAAAUAAUAACUUAUUAUGUUGGUUUUAGAUUAUUCUCAGUUUCAUAAUGGUAGUUGAUUUCACCAUUCUGCAUCACUUUGCCACACCAACUUCUUUCACCUCAAUUUAUGUGCCUAUUGCAUCUUUGUCCUUGGAAAGUACAGUAAUACGAAACAUCAGAAGGAAAAUCUGUAUGGAAGGAAGUCUCAUUAGAUUCAAAACAAAUAAAACCUAUAUAAAUUUCAGUACUUGUAGAAUGACAGAAGACUGAAACAUAUCCAGCAUAAAGGCAAAGAAACUACCUAAGCGUGAGGUUUGAUUUUCCAAAUAUGACCCAUUUGAUCAACAGAGCCAGAAGCAAGCUUUUCCCGUUAGAAUUCCAGGCCACCGAAUUGAAAGACCUACAAAAAGAUGAAGAUCAAAAGAUGGAAGAAGUCCUAAACUUUAAAGAAAAAGAAGCUAAACCUAACCAGCUCAAGGAUGUUGAAAAUUCAGAGAUGAAAAAGUCCACAACUUAACUCAAGAACAGACAAAAUAGGUAGCUCAACUAAUUUAGAAACCGCUUUCAAAUCUCCAUUUAUCAACCACCAAAGCUAAUAAACAAAACGUAUCUUAAACUGGAUGAUGAUGCAGUGGUUUAUAGCAAAAUUAGUUGUUUCAUCGUAUAGGCCGAUCCUUCAUUCUCUGAGAAUCCGUGCAGAUACCACAGCUCAGUAUGACUACGGUCGUGUGAUAAUGGCACCGGCUUCGACUUCUUCUCAGGUUUAUCAUAGCGGUGUUCACAGAAAGCGCGGGCGGCGUGCUCUAGGCUCCAAUUGUUGUCGCUGAGGUCCUUGGUUCGUCCGCCGCGGUUCUCUGGCUCUCAGACGGAGGUUGAGCCGGCGACGGCAAGUUUUUCUGCGGCAAGCCUCCAUCGCCAUAAAGAUUCGUGUAACGUAGUAAACAGAGAAGAGGAAGAGAAAGGGGAUCGAAGAUCCAUUUUGAUAAAUUAGGGUUGGUUCUUCGUGGAAAGGGGAAAGGGGACUUCAGAGAGCCACGGGCUUCUCGAUUCCGAACAUUAUCGGGCCUGUAGAAUGCGAGGCCCAAAU